CUCAAAGAUUAAGCCAUGCAAGUGGUUAUAUGAACCAAACAGUUUAAGUAAGUGUUAACACUGUUCAAACGUACAUACGUACAAAAAGGAGUUGUAUUGAUCUGGCAAUACAUUAACUCCAACUGAAAAGAGACUGUGUAUGUCUCACUUAUGCAACUGCAGACAGCUGCUUAGUACAGUCUCACUUGUCUUGACUUGGCUAAUACACGAUGCAAUGACACAACGGAUAACUAAGGGAAAGUUUGGCUAAUACGUACGUCUUACACGAAACACAGCUAUGCUGUUGUUCAAAUCUUAGCAGUCAAUGGCUAGGCUAAGUGCACAUUUGUGUACUAUCAACGCCUACAACGCAACAUGAGAGACAUUGACUACGCAGUGAGUUCAACUCACAUUACGCUAAGCAGACUUUGCGAAUCACUUUGCGAAGCAUGUCAUACAAGCAUCUAAAACAUCAAGUCACAGGGUUGGCAAGUGUAUCUUUGAACCUUCAAAGCAGUCACGUAUACGGAAGAGUAGUUUCUAAUCCCAUAGAAGGAGCACCGUACAAUGAGAGACGGCUCUUAGUUCUAAGGAACGCAGCAGGCGCGUAAAUUGCCCAAUGAUAGUACUGUACAAUUGUUAACUACUGUGUUUAAAGACACACAUACGAACUUACCUUGUUACAUUUAGUUCUCAAUAGCUAUUGAGGCAGUGACAAGCUGUAACGGUUGAGUAUUAUAAUGACGGGUGUCUGGCCUUGCCGCUGCUUUGUCAGCUUGGCGAGUUUGCCGAUGCCUUGUGUGCUCAAUUGGAAUGCGGUGAGUUUAAGCAACUCAGAACCUUUAGAUUGUGUGUACAACAGUGCAUCGAUUUAUGCAUCUGAAUUUCAAGUGGAGGGCAAGUCUGGUGCCAGNNGCCGCGGUAAUACCAGCUCCACUAGCCUAUACAAUCAUUGUUGNGGUUAAGAGGCUCGUAGUUGGAUUGAACUACUAACUUGUUAGUUACAUACUAACAGUUCAAAUGCUCGACAUUGUAAUCAACUAACGUACAUACAUACAGACAGGGUUCAACUGAUUGUUAUGUAGCAACGACUAACACACACUCUCAACACUGUGAACAAAUCAGAGUGUAUCAAACAGGUCGUUUUAUCAUGUGCCUUGUAUGUCCAGUCAUGGAAUGUUGCAUUGCACACUAACAAUUGACAUACAUACAUACGUACUAACGGUGUAUUAACGCUACAAAGCGAAGUGUCACUUGAUUACUCUUAUCAUGUCGAUGGAGACAGUUGGAGUUGACAGUACUGCUGGGCGAGAGGUGAAAUUCAUUGACCCCAGCAAGACUACCAAAAGCGAAAGCAGUUGACUAGGCUAUGCUCUUUGUGAUGUAAGCUUAGCAACCGACACUUACUUAUGUACAUAAAUGCAGUGAUUGAGUUGAAGGUGGCAACUACAAUACACUUGCGUACAUAAAUACAUACAUACAGUGAUUUAGUUGAGCAAUGACUUAUACACUUUACAAUGAAGAACGAAGGUUGGGGGAUCAAAGAGGAUCAGAUACCCUCGUCGUCCCAUUUAGUACAUCAAACGAUGGGCUCUCAAUUGCAUCCUACUGUCAUGUAGAUGCUAAACCCCUCAACCUACCAACAUAACUUUAGCUUGAGCAGCAUUUCGAUGCGCUCGCUAAUACCUUGUUAGUACGGUUACAACGGACUUUUCAUUAUACAUACAAAUCUUUGCGUGUAUGUAUGUUUUGAACUACGCAGUUAGUUCUAACUCCGUACACUUGAUUGUCGGAGCUUUGCGCUCAAUUGUUAAUCUGGUGAGAUGUAAGCACCAUGUGCCUAGUGCCCGCAGGUUCUGUACUUCGGUUAUGAACUCUGUCGUGUAGUACUUUGUACAACACAUUAUUGAUGUGAAGCACGCGUUAGGCACGCGCUUACUGCGGAAAUGUCUGAGACACUUCUUUCCUGGGGUAGUAUGCACGCAAGUGUGAAACUUGAAGGAAUUGACGGAAGGGCACCACAAGAACGCGUGGAGCAUGUGGCUUAAUUUGACUCAACGCGGGAAAUCUUACCGGGUCCGGACACACUGAGGAUUGACAGGUUCUAUCAUGCAGUAACUCUGUUACAAUGCAUGUGUUAAAUAAGCUAGUCCUUUCAUGAUUAUGUGAUAGGUGGUGCAUGGCCGUUCUUAGUUCGUGGAGUGAUCUGUCUGCUUAAUUGCGUUUCACUACGAACUCACAUUAUAAUGUAUGCUUGUGUGGCACUUUGAUCCCUGUUUCGGCAGUCGUGCGUCUCUGUGUCAAUUACACAUCGUGCAAAGUGGGUUCGGAAAGCAACGAACGUGACCGCAACCUCUUGUUGUCUGUAACUAUGUUAGUACAUUCAAUGUAUCUAAUCAAACAGACUGUCGUUAGUAAACUAGAGGGACCGCUGCUUCUUACUUAAACCAGAGUAAGGUUGUGGCAAUAACAGGUCUGUGAUGCCCUUAGAUGUUCCGGGCUGCACACGUGCUACAAUGAUUGUUGCAGUGAGCAUCUCAUACUAACUAAAUCGCCUGCAUGGCUUUAAUGUUGCCAUUGUGUAGCAUUCUAGUCUUAUGCGCGAUAAAGCCUACUUUGAGAGUCAGUGGGUAAUCAAUUAGAAGUAACGAUUUCAACUAUGCACAUGAAUGUUCGACGUUCAUUCCCAACUGUAAUUCUUAUUACAUGCUUGUGUGUAUUGAACGAGGCUUUAUGCCUUAUAAUCGAUCGUGCAACUGUCAAUUCACGGUGGGGACAGACCUUUGUUAAUUGUUGGUCUCGUUCUAAACUAGGAAUGCCUUGUACGGGUCUUUGGUUCAUCAGACCACCCGGAAUACGUCCCUGCCCUUUGUACACACCGCCCGUCGCUCUUACCGAUGGACUUCUCUG
rnacentral:rRNA from 1 species